GGUGAGGGAAAUUGACAUUGAUGAGGGCGUUGGCCGCUCAAUUCCUACUUCGGAUUCCCCAACUCGGAAGGAAAAAUAUAAACUUUCCGUCGUACAAGCAUCGCGGGAAUUAUCAGCCAUUGUUCUUGUCUUGCAAUUACAGCACCAAUGACAAUUGUUCUUCAUCAUCAUCUUCUUCUUCUUCUUCGAAGAAUUACUUAGAAUUGACCGACGAUGAGCGAAAUGGACGCGUACAAAUCGUCGGGACCAGGCGGUCAGCACCGCAAUAAGCGCGAAUCCGCCGUACGUCUCAAGCACGUACCUACCGGCGUCAUAUCGCAUGCCGCCGAAGACCGAUCGCAGCACAAGAAUCGCGCGUCAGCUUUGUAGCGCCUCCGCACUCUUUUGGCCCUCAAUGUGAGGAGCAGUGUGAAUCUUGAUGCGUAUUCGCCGCCGCCACAGCUUCUUCAAAUCCCUCCUCCUAAGUCUAAUAUUAGAAGUUCUGAAGUUGGUCCACAAAUUGGACCUAACAAUCCUAAAUUUGCUUUGGUAUUACUCUAUUCACUCUUGCUUUGUUUUUUUGUUUUCUGUUAAAAUUUAAGUCAUCGUAAUGUUUUUUUUUUUUUUUUUGGUUAACUUCAGGGAAUGCAAGCUCUGCUUGAUCUAAUUUUCGCAGGUUAAGCACUUGGCCGUGAAUGAGUUCAGGACUUCUAAAGGUAUGCUAAUUCAUAGCUGAUAGUGUGUAUUACGAUAAGACUCAACCUGUUGGUUAAUUUAAAAUUGUUAUCUUCUUUCUUAUUUGUGAAACAAAUAUAAUAAGUCUGUUUUUUGUUGUUGAGUGUCUGCGUCAGUGCUUGAUGGCUUAUUUUUAAGUAGCUUUAAAGCAUAUUUGGCUCUUUGUUUAUGAAUAAUGUUCAAUAGCAACCUGCUCCAUUGAUAAGAGAAAUGUAUGAUAUAAUUUUUCAAGAUACCAACCUGCAUUAUGAAUUGUUAUUGGAAGGAAGUACGAGAAUAAAUUAAGAGCAAAGACUGAUUAAAAGAUGUAUCUUCAUUAUGACUUGAAAUGUAUGUUCCGCUUCUCAUUCACUUUACCAGAAUUACAAAAGUUUUAUGUUAUUGAUGGUUGGAUUGUUUCUGGGUUAUCCUUGUUUUUUUUUUGUUUUAAUUGCUUUACAUACAUUAUGUGUGUAAUUUUUUAAUGGACAAUCUUCAUUUGAAACAUGAAAAUUUUAAAAAACUUUCUGAUUUGUGCAGGGUAUGAAGCCUCUUAAGUAGGACUUCUUGGGUGCUACUAUUGUGUUCGGCAAAUAUAUAUUUUUUUUCUUUUUUCAGUCACCAUAAUGGGGGUCAUGGUGAAACAACUUACUAAUCACUCUGGACAGGAAUGGGCUUCUAUAAGUAAAGCACACUUAUUUCACUCUUUCCUUAGUAUGGAGCUGCUUACCGUUGGGAUGAAGAUGGUAAUAGCAGCUUUAGAAAUUAGUUUUCUUCAGUAGGAAAAUUUCUAAAUCUUGGAAAAUUUAAAGUUGUACUAGAAAACAAGCUGCCUAUUCAACCAAUGGCUAAAUGUAGCAUAGUAGUCUCCUUAGACGAUUAAUUAGAUUGCAUUCCUUUUGAUCUCUCUCUUUUCAUUUUUUCUCCUUUUUGACUUGCACUUCUCUAUUCCUUUCCUCAAAAAAAAAAAAAAAACAUUUGCACUUCUCUGCUGAUGUCUUCCCAAUAUCCUAUGAUGUACAAAUGCACAAAUACUCUUGUUGUGACGUUAACCAUAUAUGGUUUCUUUUUUAUUUUGGUCCAUUUUCCAACAACAUAGAAUAGUAAGAAGAAUACUUUAUUUUAAUGAUGCUUCUCUGCUUUCUUAAAUGUAUGCUUGUUCUUGUUCACAUUUUACUGUUCAUCAUAAUUGGUAUGGUCUUUUUUUGGCAUCAUCAAGCCCCAAAUGUGAUGAAACAUUUUGAAUUUCUUAUUGAUCCAGCCUUCACUUUAGUAUAAUGUAUACACCGUACCUGCGCUGCAGUAAGUAUCAUUGAUAGUUCUGAAUGAGUGUGAAAGCAGACUAGUGUGUAACUUCAUGAUUUAUUUACUGGUUUGCACAUCCAUAUUUCAAAUGAUUUACUGGUCUCUGGCCUAAAGAGAGGGAAAUUGAAAGACUUGUGAGACAAUCCUCAUGGCUUUGUUGACAUCAAUUUGGUGGUUGAUUGAGAAAUGAAUGAUCAUACAUAUACAUAUACAUAUACAUAUACAUACAUAUAUAUAUAUAUAUAUAUAUAUAUAUGAUUUUCAUGGACUAGUAUUUGACAGAUGACUUGAUUAUUAUUUUUUGUCUGUCUGUUUAUUGGUUCUGUUGCUCAGUCAUAGCUAGACAUUGCUCGUUGACCAUUUGUUAGUGACAGGCUCAAAUGAGAUGCUUGAACUUUUGCUUUUAUCUCUUGUACUUACUUGCUUGGAUUUAGUUUGGAAAAGCAAAUCAACUAAGAUUUAGUUAGGUGAGCUAUGCAGCAAGUUGGGAUCUGACCCAAGUCAUAAUCCAAGUUGAGCAGAAUAUCCACAAAAUCGAUCAUCUCAUCCAUGAAACAAAAGCAAUUGUGAGAGCCAGCAUUGGGGAAUCGUUUACUAGACAUGAGUUUUGAUAUUUGAUAUUAUGAAAGUCUUUUAUUUGACAUGUAAAGGUAGGGAUUUACUUUGUUUAACCCCUAUUCGUGCUAUAGGUUGACAGUAAUCUAUCACUUAAAUGCACUUUUUCCAAUCAGCCAAUGGCAAGCAAAUUUCUAGAAUGAAAAUGAGGCAUAAGUUAAAUGCUUUCUUGAAAUGUGGUGAAAUCAUUUGUUUAUGGUAUUACUUGUCGUGGCAGAAGCAUCCUCCUAAAAUUAUUUAUAAGAAACUCUUUUUACUCUCUAUGCCAGUGGAGUGGGCCUUCAAAAGGAAAGGAAAAGUUGUGCCUAAAGUUGUGAAAAGGAAGAAUUUGCAAGUAAAAAAUGAAUAUAUUAUGCAUGGCUACAUAAAUUGGUACAUAUAGCUUUUGCACCUAAUCUGAUUAUCUCGAUUCCUGGACCCAUAACUAAUAUAGCCUAAUUAUUACACAUGAUAUUUUGCUGCUGCCAUACUACUUACAUGCGAGUGCUGAUUUUUAAACAGAAAUAUUCAACAGAGCACUGACAGAAACAGAGUUAACACCCGAGCCGGGUUACCUUGUUAAUUGAAAACAAUUAAUUAACAGGACAAAAACACGAUAAAUCUGGUGGUUUUGUAGUUAAUUCUGCCUGCCCUCUGUCAGUUUCUUUAGUAUUUUUCCUCGUAUAUUUGACUUAUUGACCUAUCUGUGGCUGGAAAGAAAAAUGAUUUAAGUCAACUGUCGAAAAUGUUUUAUCAUUAUUUUAUUUCUGAAUAUCAGCAGUGCAUCAUUUUGAAAAUGUAACUGUGGGGUUUCAGGAUCCUCUUGAGCCAGUUUUGUUGUUCACAAAACCCCUUGUGCCAGAAAAAUUGGACGCUGCAGGUAUUGUUCCGCCGUCAGAUUCUUCUACGAGGAAUGGCACUAUAGCACGAACUCACAAAUUUCAUGGAAGAAUUGGCCGAGGGGGCGGAUAGUAUUUGAUAGAUGUAAUCCUCUUAUGCACUCCUCAACUGAUAGUGGCACGUCUUUUUACUUACCACCAAAACCCCGCACAUCUAUGUACAGUUAAAUUGAAUACUCGUAUUGUCCGAGCUCCAGCAUUAUUCGUUAGGGAGCCAAGUGUAAUUAUGCUCCGGCUGAUAUUUAUGUAGUUAAAUUGAAUACUUCCAUUGUCCCAGCUCCAGCAAUUAUUUGUUUGGGAAGUCAAGUGUAAUUAUGCCGAGGGCAAGCAAAAUACUGGGCUUGAUGAAUCUUUUGAGGCUUGGUCACAGGUAUUUCAUGCCGUGCAUCAUCUUGCCUUAUUCUUUUUAAAGAAAUGACCUUGCCCUAAUUUUCCUUUCAAGUUUAAACUUAAUGAGCUUUUAUUACAUCCUUUAUUGUUGACAUGCUUGUGCUAAUCAUAGUAUUUUCAAAAUUUUCGGCCCAGUUGAUUAUAAAUUUUGUGUGAAUGUUACAAGAUAAAACUUACCUUUAAAAUGUUAACGAACCUGUAGGAUUGGACUUCUCUUUAAGACCUUGAAUUAAGUGGAGGGUGUUUCGGGGUUAAUAAACCAGGAACUAUGCAUAUACUUGGCCAAUGAGGAAUCCUACUAGUGCAGAAUAAGGUUGCACAAGACAGUUAAAUAGAUGACGCAAUGGAGACGUCUCUGUAUCGACUCAAUUCAAACUAAUUGUACAACUUCAUUUCUGAAGGAGUCACCAUUUUUUUUUCCCAUUAAUCCCAUUUGGAGAAUGUGUACGUCAGGUGUUAAUGCUUAUAAUGAAAAUGAUGCACUAUGUUUGGUGUUUUUCAAUUUAAAAAUGUGUCUAAUAGUGUAUUUUCAGAAUUGGACUAUAAAAAUAGAAAUAGAGAAAACGAUAUAAAAUUAAGGUAAUAUAGGACAAAAAAGUAUGGACAAGGAAGCAGUAAUAUUUGGCGUUUUUCAUUUUUUCAAUAAAAAAAUGAAAACAAAAUUUUCAAUAUCUAUUCAUCAUUUUUUGGGGAAAAAAAAAAGAAGCUUAAAGAAUAAAUGAAAGGGUGUUUUAAAACAAAAUUGUGAUUGGUGUUUGAAUAAUGACCCUCUCGGUUAGGCAAAACAGUCACAUAAUCAUUUUUUUUAAAACACAAACAUUUUGGUUCAGAAAUAAUCACACAAAUCCCAAUCUUUUAGCUAAAAAAGAGUCUGUGUAUCUCGAAAGAGACAUGUGUGACAUUUUCUAAAAACAAAAUAUAUUUAUAGUUAUUUUGCCAAAUCACGUGGUGCCUUUAGAAAUAGGAUAGAUUUUAAUUUGCCCCCAAUUUAAAAUGAAAAUCUUUAAUUUAUCACCUAAAAGUAUAAAAAUAUCAAGUUACCCCAUUUAUUGUUAAGAAGAUUAAAACAAAAAAACCAUCAACACAUUCCUUAUUUGCCCCUCAUCUUUUGGACGGAAAUGAAGAAUAAAUUGAGGUUUACAUUGAGAGCAAAUUAGAGAUUAUCAUUUUAUUUAGGAAUGAAUUAAACUUUAUCCUUAGAAAUAAAAAAUUCAAGAGAAGUACAUCAAAAAAGGUAAUAUAGUUUUCACUUUUUAUGGAGUAUUUGGGUAAGGGUAUUUGCACGCCACUAUUUUUGUAAAUCCACCCUACUUCUAGAAACUAAUUGCAAUGAAUUCACAAUAUUUUUUUUAAAAAUACAAAUUAAUAAAAAUUUUGUAUAGUUAAUCAGUUAAAUCCUUCUAUUAAUUUUUUUCUUAGGUUUUUUGACCAUUUUUAAUCAUAAAACUUUAAUACAAGUUUUGUUUUAGUAUUUUAUUAUUAUGAUAUAUAGCGACUAAAUUACCAUAAUAAACAUGAGUUAUUAUAUCUAAUAAUUUAUGUAUCUAGCUUAUAAUCUAAUAUUUUUAAAUAAAAUUUAAUUGUUAUUUUCUCUACUUUUAUGUGUAAAUUACAUAAAAUUGACAUCCCAAUAAUUUACACGAGUAUCAUGCCCUAAAGAUACUAUUUUAGUUUAAUUAAAGAUUAAAACUCAUACUAAUAAAAUAGUAUUAGAAACAAUGAGUUUGGUACAAAAUUAGAAAAAUAUUAAAGUUAAAGUAAAUUCUUAAUAGUUUUACCUUGUAAGGGUAAAAUAAUCAAUUUAAAUUUAUGACAAAGCAAUCUUUGUAACCAAAUAUAAUAAAAUAAUCUAAAUCAGGAGAAAGUAAACUAAAAUAAAUUUAGUUAAUUACUUCUACAAAGUUCUUCUUUGUUUGAAAAUUUUUAAGCAUAGCAUGUAUGUUUUAUAAUUAUUUUUUAAAAAAUGGGACGAGUUUGCAAAAAUUAUUGGACGGAAAUACCAAUCACCCGGAGUAUUUUAGUAAAGCACCUGAUAUUCGUUUCAGACGAAGUAUUAUCAUUUUGAUUUUUGAGGAAUAUCAGUAAAAUUUUCAUAUAAUAGUGGAAUAAGCCCAAUAAAUAAUUAUAUAAAAAGUUUUAGUAGUCUCAUAGAGGUGGAAGCAGGGAAGGAGCAGGCCAAGCCAGGCCACAGAAAAUAUUCAAUUGAAAAAGCAAGAAAAGAAUGAGCGUGUGGAUGGUAAGGGCUCGGACUCCCUCUUUCAUUAUUCCAAUAACAACACUCAGGAUUGGAAAUGGAAAUGGAGAUGUAAAAGGCCUGCGCUUGCCCCUAUUGAGCAAUAAGAGUUGGCAGUUUCAGUUGCAGUUGCAGCAGAGGAAUAAGGAGAAGAAGAAGAGACAAAAUGUUACCAUCAGUUAUACUAACAGUAGCAGUGGAGGGGAUUCUGCUUCUGCUGCACUGGAACUGGAGGUUAAUGAGAUAAGGGAGAGUUGCAAAAUGUGGAAAUGGAAGGGUGAGUACUCCAUCAAUUACUUGGUUUCUUCAACUCCAAAUUCACAUCCCAAUUCUCCUCCUCUACUCCUUGUCCAUGGCUUUGGUGCCUCCAUUCCUCACUGGCGCAGGUUAGCGAGAUAAGAUUGCUCUUUCUUGUUGUGAAUUGUGUAGUGGGUUGAUUAUUGGGUGCAUAAAAAUGUAGCUCCUUUAUUGUGAAUUCAGUUCAAAUUAUGUUCUGGGUAUUUUCGACUGUAAUUUUUUUUUUGUAUGGAGCAUGUCUUUACCUUACGUAUGUAAUAUCUCUGACUCUGUUAUGUAUUAUGAACUCCAGGGAUGCAUUUAUAUGUGUUAUACUUCUAAUAAUUAAUUAAGAUGAAUGAAGCAAAAGAAUAAUGAAGGUAAAUCUAUUCGUUAUUUCCUGGUGCAUUGGCAUUAACAUCUAGUUCUAUUCCUUGCACCUAGAUGAUGACAAAAAGGUGAUCUGAGUUUCAGGGUUCCAUUUCAUAUUACCCUUUUAUGGGUAUAGGCUUCUUCCAUUUUCCGAUUCUUAAUCUAGUGAAAAAGUAUUCAUUUUACUGCUCCGUUGAAAAGGGGAAUGAAAAUUUGCUUGUGCACCAUUCCUUUAUCGUAUUAAAUAAUGUGAGGAAUUGAUAUUUUUCUUGUCAUCUCUGAGGUAAUUUCACGAAUAUUGGCACCCUGGCAAAGAGCUACACGGUUUAUGCAAUUGACCUUCUUGGAUUUGGUGCUUCAGAUAAGCCAGCUGGUUAUUCAUAUACCAUGGAGGGAUGGGCUCAGGUAUGCAAUGUUCCCUAGCCAGAAGUUGGAUCUUUUGUCAUCAAUCGCUUGACCUUUAGUUAUUUUCCUUGCUAACUUGAGUGAGAUUCACUGAUACAGCUAAUAUUGGAUUUCUUGGAUGAAGUUGUUAAGAAGCCAACUGUGCUUAUAGGUAACUCUGUUGGAAGCCUAGCUUGUGUUAUUGCUGCCUCAGGUAUAUUUAUUUUAACUUCCCCUUGGACAUCAGAUAUUCUUCAACUUGCUUGCAAAGAAACACUUGCCCCUAAUUAUCCUUUUUGGUAUCUAUGGUUUACGAUAAACCUGCUAUAUUUUCUACCAUAAGAAUCCAGUCAAACCCUUGUUCGAGGGCUUGUUCUGUUGAAUUGUGCUGGUGGCAUGAACAACAAGGCAAUUGUUGAUGAUUGGAGAAUCAAGCUAUUGUUCCCAUUGCUUUGGUUCAUUGAUUUUUUGUUGAAGCAAAGGCCAAUUGCUUCUGCUAUAUUUGAGCGUGUGAAACAAAGGUAUUUUCUCUUCUCUCUAUUCAGUCCAUUGUUCAUUAUCCCAAGACACUAGAGUCAAAAUUAAAAAAAAAACUCUAUGAUGUGCAUAUCUUGGUGCUGUAGGGAAACACUGAGGAAUAUUUUACUGUCCAUUUAUGCAAAUAAGGAAUCUUUGGAUGAAACACUGGUUGAGGUAUUAAUAUUCUCCACUUAUAUGCCAUUUUAACCUGUUACAAAAAUGGCUUCUCAUAAUUCAUGAAUCGACCUCAAAACUGCAGAUCAUACGAGAGCCCGCCAAUGAGGAAGGGGCACUUGAUGCAUUUGUUUCGAUUGUAACAGGCCCACCAGGGCCGAACCCAGUUCAAUUGAUGCCAUCAAUCUCGAUAGUUUUAUGGGGUGAUGAGGAUCCAUUCACACCCCUCGAUGGACCUGUUGGUAAAUACUUCUCAUCUCUGCCUUCUAAACUCUCAAAUGUGAAGCUAAUUGUAUUGGAUGGAGUAGGACAUUGCCCCCAUGACGACAGCCCUGAGUUGGUCCAUGAAAAGCUGCUUCCUUGGUUGGCUGAAACAUUUAAUUUCUGAGGAAUUUACUUUCUCAUCAGCAAGUUUUAACGAGCAUUAUAUAUUAUUCCUAUUGUAAAAAGACAAAACAAUUCUUGUAUUUAUGUUGUAUAUAUAAAUUCUUAUUCAACCGCUUGGUUAUCUUUUGGCGCCGAAAGGAAUGUUGGAGAAACUGAUCUCUGACAAGUUGUAGAAGCUCCAAAUUGAUUUAAGAAAUAUAUCAAAUUAUUCAAUAAAAAGUCAAAUUCAGCACAAUAAUAAAGAAUAAUGAUUUAGUAAUCUAUAUUGCUCAUGUUAAUGAUAUGUGAAUGAUAGAUCAAAUUUUAUACCUGAAAAAGAUACAAUAAUCUAAAUCGAAAUAUAAGUUCACAGGCAUCUUCAAUCCUUUCCUUACAAGUCAGUUUUGUAAAUAUAAAUUCUAACCAUAGACGAUACCACAUCAACUAUGGAAUCAAAUGCACCAUUCCAAAUAUGGAAUUGGUAAAGAUACGUGAAAAAGUGCAUACAUGUUUAAGCAAAUGGAUUCACAACACAAAUGAGUUGAGUGAAAAUGACACCUAUCUCAGUCUUCUUCGUUAUAGUUGAAACAUGUGCUUGGAUCUUCCAUUGAAUUUGUAGAAUCUGGGAUGCGAAAUAAAUGGAUCCCACAUUUUUUCACCCCGCAGCACUGGCACUCCAAUGGUGGAAAAACAUUAAAGUGGACCGCCUCAGGAAUGCAAUUGCAUUUCCAAAAGCCAUUAAAAUCCUUUUCACGAAACUGAUAGUACCCCAAAUGUAAGUGAUCUGAUUUUACAUAAUUAACUCUGCUCUGAAAUAACCGUUUGCCAUGCGUAUCACAGUCUUUGGUGGUUUUCACUUUGAGCUCAAAAGAACAUGAAAACCAUCAGCCACAAUCUACAUGACGGCUGAAAAUGCUAAAAUAGCACUAAAUGCAAUGCCCUGUACUAUGCUAUUAUGGAAGAAAUCGGGUGGCAUCUCCCAGGUUAUAAAAGAUCCCACACUUUGAAACUUAAACCACUUUGGAAUUUCAUUCUCAGGUAGUACGAUAUGAACUUUGUCCGUGGAACAAUCUCUCUAUACCAAAAAUUCUUAAUCUAAACCCAAAAAAAUAUUGUAUAAAUUGUAAGGAGAAAUAGUCAAAGACAUACCUUUUUCCAGUACUUCUUCCCAACGAGCAGCUAGCGCAUGGCUCAUAUGCUGAAUUCUCUGGACAUCUUUACCAAUUCCUGUAGUAUAAUUGCCCUCUAAUUUAAAAUUAUUGCUCUGGUUGAAAAACACUGCCUAUAAGAUUCAGAACCAACCUAGGGAACAAACCUAAUAAUGAUUGCAGUGCCAGGCAAUGAUCGACAUCUAAGCCUUAUACAAGGAAUAGAUGCUUUAGUAAGGAUUGAAGCCUCUCACUAUAAUUUAAAAAGAGGUAUCGCAACACGAAAGGUUGGAUAAUGCCUUCUAGUAUUCUCUCGAUAUUUGUUUUCACAAGAUUCAAUAAUAUUGGUGAGGAUGACUGGCCAAGACAUUCGGGCAAUCUCUGAAGAUUUGAGCAAUCAUGGAGAUUAAGAACUCAAAGAGAUUUCAACUUACAUUGGCUGCUUGGGAAACUCUUAAGCCUUUUACAAUCUGAAAGGUCCAAGUAUUCGAGCCUAAGUAGACGCUCAAUUGAUGAGGGCAGUUCUUCAAUUGCAGUCCCCCUUAAAAAUAACCAGCUUAUAUUACCUGAUGAGAUCUCUGGAAGCCACUUCAGUUUUGAGCAGCCCGAAAGAUCAAGUUCGGUAAGAAAUUCCCAAUUAAAUAUUCUAGAUGGAAGAGUUUUCUAGAUUUUGCUACCUCUUAGAUCAAGAUAAUUAGCUAGUUUAGAUGUGGCAUCAACGUGGAGUUUGGAGAUUUGGCAAUUAGCUUAUUACAGGCAAACUGCAAAAAGACAAGCUCAGAAUACUAGGUUAUACAUGCCACUUCCAAUUCCAAAUGCGCCUUGGGAAGACAUAUCCAUGGAUUUCAUUUUGGGAUUACUGCGAACACAGAAAAGUUUUGAUUCUAUCUUUGUUGUGGUAGAUCAUUUUUCUAAAAUGGCUCAUUUUAUUCCAUGUAGGAAAACUUCAGAUGCUAACUACAUUGCUCAACUAUUCUCUCGAGAAAUUGUCCGUCUACAUGGAUUGCCAAGGACAAUAGUUUCUAAUCUAGAUAACAAAUUUCUUAGUCAUUUUUGGCAUACAUUAUGGAAAAGACUUGAUAAAACUUUACAAUUUAGUAGCACUUGUCAUUCACAAAUAGAUGGGCAAAUUGAAGUCACCAAUCACACAUUGGGUAAUAUCUUGCAAUGCUUGGUUAAAGAAAACCCAAAACAAUGGGAGAAUGUCUUACCACAAGCUAAAUUUGCCUACAACAAUGUGCCUAAUCAUUCUAGUGGUAAAUCUCCAUUUGAAGUUGUUUAUAUUUGUCCUCCAUUGCACACUUUAGAUUUGGUUCCUUUACCAAAGCUUCUUGGAAUGAGCAUCAUUGUUGAUCAUCUAAUUAAUAAAAUGAUUGAUGUAUACGAAGAGGUCAAAAAGAAGUUGGAAGAAUCUACCGCAAAAUACAAGGCCAUUGCUGACAAGCACAAAAGGUUAAAGUCAUAUAAAGUGGGUGAUUAUGUCAUGGUACAUCUGCGCAAAGAAGGAGUUCCCACAAGAGAAUACAGUAAGCUGAAGCAUAAGAAAAUUGGCCCUUUCCACAUCCUUCAAAAGAUUAAUGAUAAUGUCUAUAUCAUCGAUCUCCCUGAACACUAUGUCAUUCUUAACACUUUUAAUGUUCAAGAUUUGUAUGAGUAUCAUGGUCCAGAACGAAUUCUUUGACUAACUCGAGGAUGAGUUAUUUUUAGAGGGGGAGAAACUGACGCAACAUAAGACAUUAGGGCUCAAAUAGUGGAAUAGAGUACAUGUAUUUUGUUUAGUAUAUUGCAGUUGGUGUGUCUGUUGACUGGAAUGUAGUAGGUAUAGUUGACUAUGAGUACUAUAAAUAUGUACUAAAUUAGUUGUAAAAACCAAUCUAUCUUCAAUUAAAUUUUGAGUUUUCUUGUUUCAAAUUCUAAUUCAAAAUUUGUUAUGCCUUCUUCUCUUCGUGAGAUUGCUAGUUAGAGCAAAAUCUAGCAAAAUACUGCGUCAUUUUGUCAGGCCUUAUAUGGGCCCCCAACAUUGCUCUCCAAAUAAGAACUUGUUGCAUGUCUUAUAAUAUCCCACAUCACUAACGAGUGAUUUUUUUACUGGUUUAUAAGUCACGUGCUCUCCUAAUUAAAGAGAUGUGUUCUAGAUUGUUAUGUGCGCAAUGCAAGAAAGAAGGCCAAUAAUUUUAAUUUUACAAUACCCACAUGUGCUUUUCAUACAUUAUACUCUUCAUCUAACAAGGCAAAGUUCAAUCCUUUAGUGUGAAUGUGUGUUACAUGCACCAGAUCCCUCGAAAGUUAUUACAUGAAUGUUCUAUUCCAAGAACUGAUUUUGACAUCUUCUCCGGUUAUUAAUAGUGAUUAGAAAAAGGAAAGAAAUAAAAAUACAUUCAUGAAAAUCUCAGUCUUCUUCGUCAUAGUUGAAACAUGUGCUUGGAUCCUCUAUUGAAUUCGUAGAAUUUAGGAAGCGAAUUAAAUGGAUCCCACAUUUUUUCACCCCGCAGCACUUACACUCCAAAGAUGGAAAAAUAUUAAACUGGACUACCUCAGGAAUGCAAUUGCAUUUCCAAAACCUAUUAAAAUCCUCUUCACAGAACUGAUAGUACCCCAAAUGUAAGUGAUCUGAUUCUAUAUAAUUAACUCUGCUAUGAAAUAAUUGUGUGCCAUGCGGACCACAAUCUUUGGUGGUUUUCAUUUUGAGCUGAAAAGAAAAUGAAAACCAUCUGCCACAAUCUACAUGACAGUCUGAAAAUGCUAAAACAGCACUAAAUGCAAUGCCUUGCACUCUGCUAUUAUGGAAGAAAUCUGGUGGCAUCUCCAAGGUUAUAAAAGAUCCCACACUUUGAAACUUAAACCACUUUGGAAUUUCAUUCCCAGGCAGUACGUUAUGAAAUUUGCCCAUGGAAAAACCUCUCUGUAACAAAAAAUCAUAAUUUUAAACCAAAAAAAAAAAUUGUAGAAAUUAUAAGCAGAGAGAGUUAAAAACACACAUUUUCCCGUAUUUCUUGCCAACGGGCAGCUAGCAUAUGGUCCGUAUGUGGAAUUCUCUGGGUAUCUUCAACAAUUCCUGCAGUAGAAUUACCUUGCAAUUUAAAAAUUAUUGCUCCGAUUAAAAACACUACCUAUAAGAUUCAUGACUUAGAGAACAAACCUAAGAAUGGUUCCAGUGCUAUGCAACCUCGUUCAAGGAAUGGAGGCUUUGGUAAGGAUUGAAAGCUCUCACCAUAACUUAAGAGGAGGUUUCCCGACACGAAAACUUGGAUAAUGCUUUCUGGUAUUCUCUCAAUAUUGGUUUUCGCUAGAUUCAAUAUUAUUGGCGAGGAUAAUUGGCCAAGACAUUCGGGCAAUCUCUGAAGAUUUGAGCAACCACAGAGACUAAGAACUCCGAGAGAUUUCAAUUUAUAGAGGCUACUUGGGAGACUCUUAAGCCUUUUACAAUCUGAAAGGUCUAAGUAUCCGAGCCUACGUAGACGCUCAAUUGAUGAGGGCAGUUCUUCAAUUGCAAUCCCUCUUAAAAAUAACCAGCUUAUAUUACCUGAUGAGAUCUCUGGAAGCCUUUUCAGUUUUGAGCAGCCCGAUAGAUCAAGUUUGGUAAGAAAUUCCAAGUUAAAUAUUCCAGAUGGAAGACUUUUCAGGCUUUUGCUACCUCUUAGAUUCAAGAUAACUAGGUUGUUCAAACGUGGCAUCAACGUGGGAUUUGGAAUUUUGGCAAUUAGCUUAUGGCAGGCAGUAUGGAUUAUCUGAUUUAACUUACUAUAAUGCUGCUCGGUCAAAAAAGAGGCCAAGACAAAAUCGUUACCACGUAUAAUAAUUUAAGGUUGUUAUUGAAAGAUUGCACAUAUAUGAUAAGAUAUGCAUACCUUCACACAAUCCCAAAGUUGUUCAAUGUCAUUAUCAGGCACUUCAAGUAACACAAGCUUCUCUGCACUAAGGUUUGAGGGUAAUGACUUCAACGGAUAUCCAUGCCAGUGAAGAUAUUUCACUUCAGCAAAUCCAGGGUCUUGCAAAUAGGACAUCUUACAUUUGUUCUCUCCAUUGAAUGAUGAACUAUAGAACUUUAAAAAUCUCAAUUUAGGCAUCUUUGUGAAAGUACUGGGAUUUAGAUGGAACUCUUUUACUUUUGACAUAUCCAAACAGAUGCCCUCAAUUUUUUCUGUCCCCUAAAAAUAAAUCAAAAAGCAAUGAAGUUAAAAUCAAAUGAAAGAUAUGUAUAUUCCACCAAUGAAUCGCACUUCAACAAUACAUAGGGAUAAUUUUUGGGGCAAUUUUCUCACUAAUUCACAAUUAGAGGUAGCUUAUAGUUAUUGCUAGGCAGUUAAACUGUUAAUUCAAAUGCACAAAGAAACAAAAUAACACAAGUAAUACUUAAUAUAAAAAUUCCGUCUGUGUACUAUACAAAUUGGCAUAUCAAUUAUGCUUGCAAACGAUUAUGCAAGUUGUCAUGGCAUUUAUAAUUUAUUGCUACGUCAUCUAACCGCUAUGGUUUUUUCCAAUCAUUGUUGCUCUUCUAUUAAUUCUAAGACUCAUCAGUUCGAGCGGAUAUAAAUAUAUUCAUAUCAAGUUUGUAAAUGCUAGAAUAUUUCAAAAUAAUUAUACACAACAAACUGCUUACCGUGUUAUAUGUAAGAACUUCAUAGAUAUCCUCAUGAUGCCACAACCUACUGCGGUUUCCAGGAUUAAUUGAUUCUUGUCGAACAAUUUCCCGACCCAACUCUUGUAGUAAAUCAUGCAUUCUUAUCUUGUUGUAUGAAUCAAUAGCAAUGAGAGAUUUAUCAACAAGAACACUUAUUCCUAUUUCUGGGUAGAAACCGCUUGCAUUAUGGAAUUUCAUUACUAGAUUUACAUCCUCGCCUUGAAAGAAACAAGCAACAUCAAGGAAAAUAUUUUUCUCCUUAUCAUCCAAACUAUCGUAACUUAUUUUUAAUACCUCUAGGAUACUUGGAUGGAGGAUUCUUUGCAAUUUAUUUAUUGCACUUUCCCAGACUUCCUUUUCUCUUUCAUAUAGAAAGCAACCCAAAACUUUAAGAGCUAAGGGAACACCUUGAGCAUAUUUCAUUACCUUGCUUGAAAAUUUCUCGUAACCAACUUCAGGAUGGUUUUGUUUGAAGGCAUGUCCACUGAAAAGCUCAAGAGCGUGAUGAUAUUCUAAUGCCUCCAUCUCAUAUAUUUUACUCACCCCCCAAUUUCUAAGCACUUGUUUAUUUCUGGUGGUUAUUAUGAUUCGACUCACAGGCGUCAAACAAUCAAGGCUUCCAAUUAUAGAUUCUAAUUGGCUGAAGCAAGUCACAUCAUCAAAAACAAUCAGAACCUUCAUGCGGCUGAGCCUUCUAAAAUUAAGACCAAUAUCAAGACUCACAUUUUUAUCUUUCAAUAAAUUUGAAAGAAGUUUUUGUCGCAAGCAAGCUAAUCCUCCCGGUUUUUGUGACUCUUCUCUAACAUUUUCAAGGAAGCAAGAACCUUCAAAACCGCUAGAGAUUUUGUCAAAAGUAGCUCUAGCGAUUGUUGUUUUGCCUAUACCACCAAUGCCCCAAAUCCCUAAAGCGUAAACAUCUUUCGACUGAGCACCUAGUAGAGAUUCAAUUUCCUCAACUCUUGAUUCUACUCCAACCAGCUGGUUUUUGUUAUCAUUCCGCCGAAAAACUUGAUCCAGCAGUCUCUUUAAAAUGUGAUUAACAACUUCGUUUAUAAGUUCCGAUUCAGGCCUACCAAAUACAUAAAAUUAGCAGCAGUAACUUCAAAUAGAAGGGAUUUGCAUAAAAUAUGAAAUAAAGGAGAUUGCUAGUUUUCCAAUUGAAAUUAAUAUACCACUUUUUUUUUUCAUAAGGAUAAUAUUGCAAAGUAAUGGUACCAGGAGAGUUAUUAAAUAUUAUAAAAAUAGUCAAAAUAAGUGGUAUAUAUUGAUUUGAGUAAGGAAAUUUCCAAUCUCCCUAUAAAUUAAUAACUCUUUAAUUACAGGAAUAUGUUAUAUGUGGAAGAGAUUUUUUUUUUCCUAGUGGUAUAUGAGUAAGAGAUUGAAAUUGAUUAAAAAACGACAGAACACCAUUAAUUUUGUUAAAAUAUAUUGUAAACCUCUGGAGCUUGUAUUAUUAAUUCUGCAAAAAAUCUUUUAUAGGAGUUCAAAAGUGGGGAAGUUCAAGAAGUCUAGAAUUUGAUGCAUGAAAAAAUUUGAAAGUGUAGUUUAUCAUCUGGAAAAUUUAUUUACAGUGUUGAAUAUUAGUAUGCGAAAUUAAAAGUAACUUUUCACCUGAUGUUAAGAGAAUGAAAGCCAGACAAAGUGGCUGCCUCCUUCAAAGCAUUCCUCCAAGUCAGCAGCUUCUUUGAAUUCUCCUUAAAUCUUUCUUCAAGCUUCGAAAAUGAAUCCCCAAAACUCCCAGUUUGGUUUCUCACGUCUGAUGGAUCAACCCGAUAGAAAACCGGAAUCACGAUCUGUGCAUACUCUUUCUUGCACUCGAGGAUCUUGACAAGUUCAUCGAGACACCAUCUGGAAGAUGCAUACCCUUCUGAGAAGACGAUAACUGAAACGGCUGAUGCUUCAAUUGCAUUCACAAGUGACUCCGAAAUUUCGUCUCCUCUGUUAAGUUGGUCAUCAAUGAAAGUUUGGAUAUUUUGUCGACACAGAGCAGAAUAGAGAUGGCUAGUAAAGUUGUCUCGGGUAUCCUCUCCUCUGAAACUAACAAAAAGAUCAUGCUUCUUGUUGUUUCGAUAAGAAGAAGCCAUAAUCAACAGAAACAGUUGAAUUGAUUAGGGAGAGAUUUUGAUUCAGAUGAAAACAAUUAUUGAACCAAAUGUGCGCGACUCUGUACAAUAAAUCGAUGCCAUGAACCUUCCUUCAAGUUCCGUGAUAAUUUUUCAAUUUCAUCUCAUUGUCCAACCACCGUCCACUCCACGAUGAUUGAUUAAUUCCACUGCUUUGUAGACUUUUAGCUGAAAAUUCCACACGAACACCAUACUUUUCAACACACGUGCUUCUGUGCUUUAAUACUCAUAACUGCCGGCAAUAAGUAGGGUGAUAUUUUAAUUUUUAUCUCUGAAUUUAUCUUUUCGGUCCUCAUCUCUCAAUUAAUUGUAUUUAGUUUCAAAAUUAUUCUUUUUUUUUUGUUUUAGUAGCUCUUAUUCAUGUUCCUUAGGGUUGAUUGUUAAGCAUAUAAAGUCUAACUUUAAAAAAAAAAAUUAGUUAUUUAUUUUUUAUAACUUAUAUAUGAUUUUUAUAUAUUUAUAUUUAAAUUAAAAAAGUAAUUUUUUUUGGUGACAUUUUCCUAAAUGAGAAAAUGUUUGAAUGGAAAAUAAAUAGUAUAUUCGAAGAAUAUUUCUAUUCAAUAUUGUUAUUUCCUAAACUAUAAACGGGUCACAUGUGGCUAAUUGUCAAAGCAAUAGCAAGCUGUUAGCUUAAAGCAAAGCACAUUCAUGCUUCACCCAUGAGAAUACAACCAAUUCUAAUGCAUGUAUUGUGACGCACGUGCAAGCUAAAAGGAGGCACAUGUGGUUAAUUGUCAAAGCAAUAGCAAGCUGUUAGCUUAAAGCAAAGCAUGUGCGAAGCAUGUGCGUGCUUCAUCAAUAGAAUAUGUGAGUGGAUUAUUAUUAUUACUAUUAUGUAUUUUACAAAACAUUUAUGUUUGAUAGUAUGAUUUAGUAUAAUGUUAUGAUUAAAUGUACGUACAUUAUAUGAUUGACUGAGUCAUGAGAUGUAAUUGACAGGCACCAUAUGUGUACAUUUCUCCAUAGGCUCUACGCAUGCGUAUUGAGAGUUAAAUUACUCGACCCUUGUGAUGUUGUUAAUUCUACUGAGUAUUGAGAGGUUUUUCCCCCUUUUGUACUCGUGCGAUGAUGAUCCCAGUGAGUAUUGAGAGUUAUUUUUCCUGUAUAUUAUUUGGUGCAAUUUUGUCAUGUGUGUAUAUACGAGUUCAUGUUUGCUUUUGUAAAGCGUUCAGUGUAAAGUUAUGUCAUACAAUUAUGACGAGCACUAAAGUACUAAUUUAUUUUUAUAUAUAAUUAUAUUCAUUCAUUGAGCCGCAAGCUUACUAUUUUCCUAUUUACCCCAUUUCUCUAAGGUGACUGAUUUGUCUAGAGCCAACACUGUCAUUCCAAAACCAAUCCAAUGGAAAGAUGUCCAUCUUCCAGAGGAAUGGAUUCUUGAAGGAGCCGCUCCACCAGCGAUUCCAAAACAACUUGAGCCUGAUACAGAGUUGCAAAAUGUGACUCAGUAUUCUGAUGGAAGAGUCAAAUUGUCAUUCAGAAGAUCUGCUUCAACUAGAUUUUCUGAUAAAGAGUCGUGCUCAAGUAUUCCUUCAUUAAGCCAAAUGGCAUUACAGUCCACUCAUACUGUCUGAAUGAAACAGUAAAAGCAGUCUUAUAACGAUCAUUUGGGUGAAUUUGAAUUUGCCAAAAUCCAGACUUCAUGUCAAAUUUUGAAAAAAUAAGGGCAGAACACAGUUUUUGGAGUAAAUCUUUUUUAUUAGGUAUAGGAUACAUAAUCCAUCUCAAUGCUUUAUUUAAAGGUUUGUAAUUUAUUACAAGUCUUGGUGUUCCUCUUGAAUUAGGCCGAUGUGAAUAUAAUGAAGGAAUACUGCACGACUUACAUUUUGACCACGUUUACGUUUAUAUGUAUAUUUUUGAAGUGUAUGUAUGUACAGUGAGAUAUGAACUAUGUAAGUUUUUAAUAAAAUUUUGAAUGAGGCACAUAGAUUAUUAUCUAUUUAUAACAAAGGGCAAGGCUAGUGUUAUAUAUUCCUGAAUUAAGUUUAUGUCAUGAGCUUUAGAUAUAAAAUUGCAUGAUUCACCCCAAAUCCAACAGAAGGGUUGAGGCAGUUUGUGUCAUGUAUGAUAUGUACAUAUUUAUAUUCAAUAUAACCACCAUUUGAAUGAUAGUUUUUUAAAAUCAAUGCACAUGUGUCGUAGCAUGAUUCACUCGUUGUAUGACUAACAUAGUACUUUUGAUGUAUUCUAAAAUUUCUUCUUUAGUUAGAGGCAUUUGUUUUAAAAUUUUAUUUAAAAGAAGGUCAUUUUAAAUUUCAAAAUGUGAAGUGUAUUUUGUACAUCACUAAAGGAUGAAAUAGCCUUCAAUAUAGAUUUCUUAAUAAAUUUUAAGAGAACUAACAGAAAGUGGUUAUCUCAUUCAUGGUUAUUAAAUCAAAAUUUGAAUUAGAUCAUCACUGGUCCAAAAUAAACUAUCGUCAUUUCAAAUUGAAGCAUGAAACCGUGAAUGGAUGCAUCUUUAAAUAAAAGGAUACAUUUUUAUUACAUAUGUCACUGUUUAAUUAGACAUAUCUUUACAGUCGGACACAUUUUUAGAGCACCAUUUAUAUUGUAAAUAUUCCAGCAUAAAAUAUGUCCCUCUCCUUAUACAAGUAUUUUGCAAAUAAUUUGCAAAUAAUACAGAGCCACCACGAGUUCAAAAAUAAUAAAACAAUAACAUUGCCCACUUGCUCGACUGGGCUGGAUUGGGCUGAUUGGGCUGGACCUGCCAUAAGAAUGUGUAAGUACGAAGCUUUGCUUUCAUCAUCGCAUACACGGUGAGGGAAAUUGAAAUUGAUGAGGGCGCUGGCCGCUCAAUUCCUGCUUCGGAUUCCCCAACUCGGAAUAUAAUCUAUACCGUCAUACAAGCAUCGUCGGGACUUAGAAGAAUUACUUAGAAUUGACCGACGAUGAGCUGUUUCGCGAAUGCAAAAUGGACGCGUACAAAUCGUCGGGACCAGGCGGUCAGCACCGCGAUAAGCGCGAAUCCGCCGUACGUCUCAAGCACGUACCUACCGGCGUCAUAGCGCAUGCCGCCGAAGACCGAUCGCAGCACAAGAAUCACGCGUCAGCUUUGUAGCGCCUCCGCACUCUUUUGGCCCUCAAUGUGAGGAGCAGUGUGAAUCUUGAUGCGUAUUCGCCGCCGCCACAGCUUCUUCAAAUCCUUCCUCCCAAGUCUACUAUUAGAAGUUCAGAAGUUGGUCCACAAAUUGGACCUAACAAUCCUAAAUUUGCUUUGGUAUUACUCUAUUCACUCUUGUUUUGUUUUUUGUUUACUGUUAAAAUUUAAGUCAUCGUAAUUUUUUUUUUUUUUUGGUUAACUUCAGGGAAUGCAAGCUCUGCUUGAUCUAAUAUAUUACGAUAAGACUCAACCUGUUGGUUAAUUUAAAAUUGUUAUCUUCUUUCUUAUUUGUGCAACAAAUAUAAUAAGUCUGUUUUUUGUUGUGAGUGUCUGCGUCAGUGCCUGAUGGCUCAUUUUUAAGUAGCUUUAAAGCAUAUUUG
rnacentral:lncRNA from 1 species